CUCUCUCCUCUCCUAUCCACUCACUGACCACCUCUCGCCCUCUCCCCUCCCCGGCUCCCCCCCGCCACAUCGCCGUGCGCAUCGACGAUCCCGCAACCGCGCGACUCCGCCCGCCGACCACCGAAUCGGUCUCAUGAAUUGGCGGGGCUUGGGGCUACGACAAGCUGUGUGCGGCGCGACUGACGGAGGCGGACGCUGCAAGCUUCCUGACCUGGGCGUGCGUGCUCGAUCCGGUCCCGUUCCGGUCGGAUCCGUGGCGGUGCUCCUCUCCGGCGAGGUCGCAGGUCGAUCCGACGCGGGGCGGCUCGAUCUGCAAGUGGAGCAACUCCGGCACGGCCAGGGCGAUGACUGCCCCCCGACGCCGCCACCCUCCGCAAGGAGCGACGACAGCUCGAAGCUCUGCGGCACGGCGUGCGCCGAGCGACGUGCAGCGAGGGCGCCGCUGCCUCAGCCACCGGCGUGUCCGACCACUCGUCCACGUCCCCACUGCUGCCGCCGGCCGGCCACUCGACGUCACUUGUCCCGCUGCUUUAGCAGGCCAAGAAACCGGAACGCCCCCCGCGCCUGGCGACCUCGGCAUCUCCAUCGACCGUCUCAGAAAGCGCUACCUCGCCCGGCUCCCGCAUAGCUGAUGCAAGCCAAGAAACAGGGAGUGCCGGCAGUAGUACUCUGAAUCCAUCAAUGCAGCUGAAUCCAUAAUGCUAAUCAAGAGGUGGUUUUGGCCUAACUGGGAUGUGCUUGAGUCCCGCAUAGCUGUGGAGGAGGAAGCUGCUGCCCUUCUUGAGUAGUUUGCAAAGAUCUUCAGUGAGCAAAGAGGGCAGUGGAAGGCAGCAACCCAAUCCCAGGAGUUCCUUUGAACCCUUCAGCGUUAAUACAAUAAUGCUUACACAGAUCCUGAGAAGCAGGAUGCUAUAAAUGUAUUCUUGGGCCAUUUCCAGUCUGAACAAGGCAAACCUCCUAUUGUGGAAGUUGGACUGAGAUCAGCAUUACGAUGUUGGCCGCCAAGGAACUCUAUGUGAAGAAACUAGAAGAACACAUGCACAAAACAUGAAGACCUGAACUGAUGCCGUUGAGGAAGGGCUGCGGUGUGUGAGUCCCCGGUGCAUGGAGGAAAAGCAGUGGCAGCUUGUGUGCCCGGGCUGCAGAAUGGAAUGAGGUGUCUCAUAUGGACAACAAUUGCUGACACGACAUCAAGUAUUCCCACCGAAUUUCCUCAACAAAAUGUACUGCAUGCUAGUCCUAGAUGGUACAUUCACAUAAACAAAGCCAAGAUAGUUCUACCCAGCAGCAAAUUACAUCGGCAAACGGUUGCGGGAGCAUGCUUAUCAAAACGUGACAAUGACCUUGGCCCUGGUAGACGCCCUCGGCAGAGCUAAUAGCUUGGCCAGAACCAUGCUACAGUCCUUUUCACCAUUCCAGUCUAUCUUCAGUUCUUCUAAAGCUGGUGCCCAGCUUAGUAGCUUUGCCACGAAAUCAACUUCGAAGUCCAGACCCCCGAAAUAGUUCACACUGGCCGUUACGAGAUGGUCCAUUUGCAAUUGCAGGUCAAGUCCUUGAAUGCCCACCUGAUCCUCAUCCUGACCAAGGAUGCUCCAAGGAAAACUCUGCAUUUUUUUUCACAGCUCGUUAGCCAUAAACACAACGAAAGAACAUGGAUCAGGUGAUCGAGCAAGCGGGGAGAGUUUACUGGAGGCAUACUUACACACAUCUCAAGCUUCUUUAAGUUAGGGGCAUUCUGAAACAGUGAACAUGCAGUCAAGACUUGCCGCUGGUCCCACAAGCAUAUCAUAAGAAACAUACUCUCCAGGUGAGUAAACACGGCAGGGAGCUUCGUAUGUAUGCAUCCUUUUGAUAGAUACUGCAACAAUAAAAUAAUAAUAAAAAUAGAUGGCAACACAGAUUAGUUAGAGGCAGAAGAAUGCCAUAGUAAUGCUGGAGAUAAUAAUAGCUCACCUUCAGGAAAAAACCACUAAUUGUAAGUGUUUCGAUGACACUUAGGCUUCCCAAUGACUGCUUGACAUAGCUUUCCUUGUCAUGCGCAAUUGGAACAGAUUGAUACGCUUUAUCAAGAGAGAGAAAGGCCACCUCCAGAUUAGGUGCGUCCAACUUAAUGUUGUCAAAAUCCCCUUCAACAUUAAGAUAAUCCAGUUUAGGAGCCUUAAUGUUUAGACGGUUGAUGCCCUCAAAAGAAUUUAAUAUCAAAUCAGUCAGUGCGGGGCAGAACGAGAUCAAAUUUUGGAUAUCCUUGUCUGUGGAGGAGAAGAUUUUCAGGGUGAGGUCAGUUAGGCUCUUGAAACCUUGGAAUGCCCGGGGCAAGCUGAUGAUGCAGUUUUCUAGGUGCAGAUACUCCAGAUCACCGAUAGAAAAGAGGCAAGAGGGAAUCUUAUACCUUGGCCCAGAGUUCAACUUGAUUAUAACUGAUUUUGGUGAUUUCCUUGACAGCAUGAUCAUCCACCUACCGAACUCAUCAUGAUUUCCAUCGCACAGAGAUAUCACUGGCAUGUCAGUCCAUACAUCCCUCCAAGUACUUGAUAAGGUACUAGUCCUAACUGCUUCUUCGACAUUCAAACGUGAGAGGAUGUCGCCCUUUAUCUCUGGAGGUAGACUGCUAAGUCUGUCUGUGCCCAUAACUGAUGUAGCUUCCGCCCUGGCCUUUUUACAGGUACUCGUUGCUUCAGAAUCCAUAUUAAACUGUCCUAGCAUUUCCGGAAGACAGGGAGCCUAAAUUAGCAUGCAGUCUACCACAUGUGUCACUAAAAAUACAAUAGACGCAAAAAAUCAAAUUGUGCACUGAGUAGUAGCUUGUUCCUAGCAAAGCAACAAAUAACAAACAACCAAGAGAUGGGAAUUUAGGGAGAAGUGCGGACAGUACUAUGUUUCUAUGCGUUGGUAUGAUUAUCAUUUGACAUGUGUUAGAAGACCUAAUUUGUGAUCUUGAAGAGUAAACAUGUGCCAGGCUGCAAGAUGGAAAUGGGCUUCUUUUGUUGAAUACAUGUGCCAUCAUUUGAGGAAGAGGUGAUUAAAAUAUGAAGAAGAAAAAAACUUGUCUUGCAAAAUGUCGAUUGGACAAACAAUUUAGGGUAUAUAGGCCCUGUUCGGCCAUCCUCCGCGGAGCGGAGCGCGCGGAGCAGCGUUUAAUCAACUCCGCAGAUUAUAAUUGGAUUGCCGCUCCGCUCCGGCGCGGAGCCGCGGAGCGGAGGGAAUCCGAACGCGGCUAUAAUCGAGAUGCCGUCAGCGUGGCCAAAUGGUCAAAUGCAAUUCUAGUUGAGGAUAGAGUCAAUUUACCCCAUAACCGGCCCUCUUUUCUUAGCCUAGAUGUGGACUUGCACUCAAAUUAUUCAGGAGCAACACGUGUUCAGUUCCAACAUUCACUCUAAGAAUCUAGCGGGCAGGGAGCAAAGCGGACCUACGGAGCGCCGGAGAACGGAGAAAGGCGGCGCCGCCCGCCCGCUGCCGCCGGGACGGAGCGCAGAGGCCAGAGGGGCAAGGAACGAACGCAGGACGCCGGAUGCCUACGCCGCCGCGCCGCCGGCCGCCGCGGCCAUGCCGUGUCUAGGGUUCGAAUUUAGCGGAGGAAACGCCGAAGUGGUCUGCGACUCCCUCCGCCUCCCGAGCGCACUUUGGGCGGCCCAUGUACAGAGCGGGCGCCCCUUUUUUCUUUUCAUUUUUCCGUUUUUCUUCUCUCUUUUUGUUUUCGUACAUCAUUAAAAAUCGUUUGGGAUUUUACAAAACAAUCGAUCCCAAAUGUUUGGAUGUUUGGAUGUUUGAAUUUAAAAAAACCUUUUUUAUGAAUUUUAAAAAAUCUUUUGAAUUGCAAAAAUGUUCACAAACUCGAUUUUUUAUAUAUUUUAAACAAUCCACAUAUUUUAGAAAGUUCAGAAAAUUUCAAAAUUGUACAUAAAUUUUAAAAACAUACCCGGGUUUAACAAAAAUGUACGUCAAUUUGAAAAAAUCGGGGUUUUACAAAUGUUCAAGAAUUUGAAAAAUGAUCCCGCAUUUCGAUGAAUCUAAAAAAUGUUCUAAGGGUUUUAAAAAUUAUUCAAAAAUUUGAUAAUUUAUUUCUCCUUUUUUAAAAUGUUCAUAAAUUUUAAAAUGGUCCUAGAUUUCAAUAAAUGUUUGUGAAUUGGAAAAAUGUUCCUGGAUUUCAAACAAUAUUCGUUUUAAAAUGGUUCCCAUAUUUAAAACAAUAUUUCAAAUUUCAAUAAAUAUUCAAAAAAAUUGAAAUUGUUCCCAUGUGGAAAAAAGGAAAACCACAAAUGAAACAAGAAAAAAAAUUAUAAAAACACAGAGUAAAAAAUUACCCGAUCUAUGAAGGUUAUAGAACCUUGUCAAAACCGGAAGGGAAGUGUCCUUAAACAGUUCUACCAAUGACUAAAAUGGGUCGACCCAGAUAAGAGAGGACGCGACGCGGGGGUGCGCGGUACGUGUCUAUUCACCGAGCUACACACUAAAAUGGUCACGAUCGUCUCACUUCACCAAGUUUUCGAGCUCCAAUGACGUGCUUGUUUGCUCCUCCGCUUCCCUUGACCUUCCUCUUCACCCUCGCCUUUCGUCUGUGGUGCCUAUAAGCUAGUCUUUGGUUACCCUUAAUUCGCAAUAGCAACGUUCGAGUUUCACAGCUUCAUGAUUGAUGUAAGCUAUAACGAGAGGACCAACACAAUGUUUUUUUCUCUUCUUUUGAUUUGUUUUCUCAAUGCAUUAUGAUAAAAUUCAAACAAGGCUAUUUUUCAUUUCUCACACAUCGGGCAUGUGUGGACUUGAUUGGUCCCCAUGGUUAGAGGUAAUGGGCGUUAGUAAUUGACAAAAAAAAUUACAUCAUGAUAAAUGGCAUCUAUAAUCUAUAAUACCUAAAUAGUUCAUCCCCACUACCUUAUUUCUCUAAGCAUGCAAGCUAUCCAACUCAGCAGCCAUGCCACAUCAGGCUAGUCAUAGUGGGAGUAACUUAGCUAGUAACAUAGCGCGUUUCAAGAUAUUUUUGCUUAUGUGACAAGUAAUUAAUGAGAGGUGGUAACAUAAUAUGUUACUGUAACAUAACGCUUUCCAAGACAAGAUGAGUCUACAAGCUAAUAAAUGAAGCCAUCUAAGAUACUACUAUUAUGUUACUUUGCAUUAUGAAGGUAGUAACUUAGGCUAGUAUCAUAUGCAUGACACUAGUCUAAGUUACUCCCCACUAUGACCAGCCUCAGCAAUUACUCUUAUUUAUCUUCACUUACCAGCUCGCCACAUCAGCAUAUGUUUUCAAUAAGUCGUGUUGGUUUUUGUUUUUAGGGUUAGAUCAUGCUGGCAACCGAAGCGAACCCCUUUGGGCUUCCCUAAUCGAUGAGGCAGCGUAAUAACUGAUAAAGAGAAGCUCAUCCGUCGAUCUCUUCUUAUCUCUUACUCUUCCUGGUAGCAGAACGGGUGAUGCCGUCAAUCACCACCGACGGCACCAUCGAUGCCCAGCAGUCGAGCACUCCGGUGUUUCUCCAGUCCAUGCGUCUCCACGCGGGCGAGCAGAGGCACGCCGAGGCGCCACCUCUUCCUCUCCUCCUGGCGCGCGAGGACCUCGAUAGAGCAACCUCCGUCGUGUCAUCCAUCUGGCUGCCGCCUCACCUGCGGCUCGAUCUGAUCUGUGGGAGAUGGUGAGGGGUGGGGUUCAGCGAAGUUAGGCAAGAGGGAGAUAUGGUGCAGGACCACUACGCUGCAGACUUUAGGCGCCCGGAGUCGACGACUCUGCCUCCUGAAGGACGACCUCCACCACCUCCUUGCUGCCCAGAAAGCGACAACGACGCCGCCUCUCGGCGACUUCACGUGCUCCCGCAAAUAUUCCCCUUCAGACAGUGGAGCGGCAUCACUCCAUAGUCUUCAACAUCAGGUUGGUGUCUGCACCAUUGCUCCAAAAUUGUGUCAUGCUUGCCAGGUCAUGCAAAGUUUAAUCCAACGUUCCCCCUUGCAUUAUAUUGAUUUCAAAAGCACAUGUGUUUAUCAUAUAGGAUUACUGAUGCAUACCAGUAUGAUUAUUUUAGUGUUGUCACAGAUCCGUUCUCUUUUUCAUGAAGUUGGCUGGGGGCUUUGGCCACAUGACAACUUUAAUUUGAGAUAUCAAUGAUAUAAAUCAGUGAAGUUGAUGUAACACCACUCCUGUUUUGGCACUGUACGGGAUGCAGAUGAAGAUAUGGAUUGCAUACUAAAAGUGCAUUUUCUGUCAUUAAACACCAUGCGUCGGUAUAUCAUUCUCAACCAAUGGUUGCUUUAUGCUUGAAAAUACUUCAUGUCUGCACUAUGAUGGUAAUAUAAGUUUUGUUUUCCUCUAAGGAAACUUCAUAGUUCCAACACUGUUUUACUUUUGCAGCGUUGUAGAGUUCUUUUGAAGGUAUGGGAUUCCACAUCAUAUUCUGAUUUUCCAUUUACAAUGCUUUGUUCAUUCCCAUUAUCAUGACCUUCAUGGUAACCAUUGCCACCUAAAUUUAGCAAAUAAUCGCCGGUUAUGUAUGGUUCAAUAUUUGUGCAUCACCUGUUAUAAAGGGUUGAGUAUAUGAAUUUGUUGAACUUUGCUAAUAUAUUCAUAUGUACAUUUGUAUCAAAAUGUACACAAUUUCAUUUUUGUUGGUGGUGUAGACUCAUUGGAUUAUUGUGUUUUUUAUUCUCAAUUUGAUUAUGGGAAUGACCCAAAAUUUGCCAAAGGAGUAGUGAAGUGGGUGCUCAAAUCUUCAUCUUUCGUUUGCUCUAAAAUGAUUUGGCAUCUCCAAGUAAUGUUCCCUUCUUAUUGUAAGUAGCGUGCAAAUCUUCAUAAAAUACUUUAGAGAACCACGACAUUGAGGGCGUUCUCCUUUGCGAAUAGGCCAUUACCAAUCUAGGUGCCAUCAGCUUUGUGACCAUGUUUAUUACUCUCACUUGCAAUAUUGUUGCCUUUCAUUUGUGGUCCGGUGGCAAGGAAUCUUUUAUGUACUGUCUCAUGGCAGCAUUUUUUGUUCUAAUUGUAUAAUUCUUCUAUGCUGAGAAUAAAUGCAAAAAAUAAAAAGUGGGUUGUGUUCUUGCCCUGUUCUGCUACUUGAUGCAUUUGUCUUUCUUCCUCCCAUGCAUGACGUCAUGUGAUCUAUCUUUUUGUUGGGAAUAGUAAUACAUCUAUUGCUAUAUUUUGUAUUGGGAUUGCAUAUUGGGAGUAUUUUGUGUAACUACGAGCAUCCUUAUUGACAUCUACUGGUACUAAUCAGCAGGUCUCAUGAUUCCAUGGCGUGCCUUAGUCUUUUGGCGGGCAUAUUAAAAGUUGAGGGCUCUCUUGGUCAAACAAGUGGAGUGAAUACCUGCACUUUUUCCCGCACUGAAAGAUUGCAAACAGCUGAUGGGCACCUCUCAAGUUUCUAUCCAUUUCAAUUUGCCUUGGAAAUCUUCUGCCGGCUCAAGUGCUCAUGUCAAGGAAUAUGGUCGUAUUUUUCUUGGAUUUUUCAUUUGCCUUGCAAUGCUAAUGGAGAAAAGGCAACCAAAUUAUUGGAGGGAUAAGAUGGUUAAAGAAUAGAUAAAUAAACUAUUUUCCAUGGAAAUUGCUGUCUUGAGACUUGGUGCAUUGAUACAUUUGGAAAGUAUGUAACGACCAUGUCUUUGAUAAUGUACUUCCAAACUUUGGUUGGUGCAGAAUUCCUGUUGUUAGCACCUACACAUAGAAAUGUACCGGACAAUAAAAAGUAAAUUGCGCUUUCCCUUGAA